AAUGAAAGCAGGCACUUGAGCAACUAUGUGUGCACCCAGUAAAAAGCACAAUGUAGGAGCAUUAGUAUGCUAAUGAGGUGCAGGGCGACAGGUGGCCCGCUAGACAGCUCAAUUAAGCAGCUCGUUAAAGGCCAAGCUAACGAAGCGGCCUGCACUGCAAGCCUCAACAAACAAUGUGACUGUGCAGGCUACAAAUUGGUUUCCUGAACACUCUCCCUGUCUUCCAUUGUUUGGAAAACAUAUAGCCCUGACCAUGUGUUGCUGUAUUUGGCUCAUCAGGAUGCAGAACAAUGUUUUGAUAGCACCACAAGGCCAAGCAGCUUGACUGAAUAGGCGUAUGAAUGGCUGUUUUCUGCCUACAUGAACCUAUUGGAGGUGGAUCAACCAUAUGCCCAUGGACAUGCACACUCAAUGACAAAGGCGGAUACCAACAGGCCCUCUCUGACACAAAGCGCCGAGGGGCUGAGGGAGGCGGGCAAGACGAGGGGUGCAUCUUAACCUGAGACAUCCCUCACACAAGAGGAGUGCAAUGGAGUUAACUACUGUAGCAGAGGGCAAAUGAAGUUCAGCUGAGGUGAAGGGGUGAGACAACGUCAAAGAAGGAACAACGGAGAGAGAUCGAGAGACGUUGUCUAAUGAAGGAAUGCACAGAGAGAUGGAAACUAAUGGAGACAAAGGAUGUACAGAGUGAGAAGGAGAGGGAGAGAGAUGGCGAUGGGGUGGCUGACUGCUGUUGAACUCAUCCUCAUCUUAAUUGAUGAGGUCAUCCUGGGGAUAUCCCAAAACUAGAGUGUCCCCGGGAGGUCAUCACCAGGUCAUCCAAAAGUCAAAGUGCAUCGGAGAGAGAUGACGUAGCAUAUAACUUUUCUUUGUGUUUCUGUUGUCGUUGUUGUUUUUGUUUGUUUAUGGGCUUUUUGCCUUUAAUUGUAAGGAUAGUGUAGACUAGGCAGAAAAGUGGAGAGAGACCACGAUUUUCUAGGCCGAUAUGGCUAGGAACUAUACUUCCAUU